rnacentral:rRNA from 1 species
AUGGAUAUACGCCGAUUGAUGGUGCACAAACUAAAGAAGGAUAUUCAUCAUCAACCACUUUCUAGCACCCACCGACUUCGAACUAUCAUUACUCUGGAUGAUAGCAUGCCAUCUUUCAGUCUAGUAACCCUGCUAUGCAAGGAUUCGAGAUAUAUGGCCGUCCUAGACUUAAGUGAUCUGGCCAUCGAGAAGAUUCCAGAUGCGAUUGGAGAUCUCUUUAAUCUCCGCUAUUUGGGUUUGCGUAAUUCAAAGGUGAAGAUUCUACCGAAAUCUGUAGAGAAGCUUUCAAAUUUGUUGACACUAGACCUUUUUGGAUCUGACAUACAUCAGCUGCCUAGAGGAAUUGUGAAACUGAAGAAGCUUAGGCACUUAUUUGCUGUGAAAAUAAUUGAUACAAAUUGGCGAAAUUUUCAUUCUUGCAGUUGUAUGUAUCUCCCCAAUGGUCUUGAAAAUCUAUCAGACCUGCAAACGCUACAAGCAUUGGAAGCACAAGAUGAGUCUAUCAGACAUUUAGGGGAGCUGAAGCAACUGAGAAGAUUGAGGUUAUGGAAUGUGAAGGGAAUCUACUGCGAACGCAUCAGUGAGUCUCUAGUUCAGAUGCAGUAUUUGUGUAGCCUAUAUGUCAAUGCAAGUGAUGAGGACGAGGUUCUCUUGUUGGAUGUCUGCCUGCCAAAUCUACAAUGCCUAUCUUUGAGUGGACGGUUAGCUGAAAGGGUGUUGGAUAAGUCUACUCUCUUCCAAGCUGUUGGAGACCUGAACUUGUUUGAAUUGUCUCUACGUUGGUCACAGCUAAUAGAAGACCCACUGCCGACACUUUCUCGGUUGUCAACUUUGACGCUUCUACGAUUCAUUAGAGCAUACAAUGGAGAGCGGCUGGCGUUUCUCACGGGGUGGUUUCCCAAGCUGAAGACUCUUCACUUAGUAGACCUGCCUAAUCUGAAUCAGCUAGAGAUACAACAAGGUGCCAUGGCGAGCCUAGAAGAUUUAGCACUAGUCAACCUGAGCAGCAUGACCGAGGUCCCUACUGGAAUUGAGUUCCUUAUGCCCCUCCAGUAUCUAAGCUUUCUGGAAAUCACCAGUGACUUCUUGAUACUGCUGCACCAAUGUUCUGCAACUCGAGGGAAGCAGUGGCAGCAUACUCUCCGGAGUUGA